rnacentral:rRNA from 1 species
AGUUUGAUCAUGGCUCAGAUUGAACGCUGGCGGCAUGCUUUACACAUGCAAGUCGAACGGCAGCACGGGGGCAACCCUGGUGGCGAGUGGCGAACGGGUGAGUAAUACAUCGGAACGUGCCCAGUCGUGGGGGAUAACGUAGCGAAAGCUACGCUAAUACCGCAUGCGAUCUACGGAUGAAAGCGGGGGAUCGCAAGACCUCGCGCGAUUGGAGCGGCCGAUGGCAGAUUAGGUAGUUGGUGGGGUAAAGGCUCACCAAGCCUUCGAUCUGUAGCUGGUCUGAGAGGACGACCAGCCACACUGGGACUGAGACACGGCCCAGACUCCUACGGGAGGCAGCAGUGGGGAAUUUUGGACAAUGGGCGAAAGCCUGAUCCAGCCAUUCCGCGUGCAGGAUGAAGGCCCUCGGGUUGUAAACUGCUUUUGUACGGAACGAAACGGCCUUUUCUAAUACAGAGGGCUAAUGACGGUACCGUAAGAAUAAGCACCGGCUAACUACGUG